rnacentral:rRNA from 1 species
ACGAACGCUGGCGGCGUGCUUAACACAUGCAAGUCGAACGGAAAGGCCCUGCUUUUGUGGGGUGCUCGAGUGGCGAACGGGUGAGUAACACGUGAGUAACCUGCCCUUAACUUUGGGAUAACUUCAGGAAACUGGGGCUAAUACCGGAUAGGAGCUCCUGCUGCAUGGUGGGGGUUGGAAAGUUUCGGCGGUUGGGGGUGGACUCGCGGCUUAUCAGCUUGUUGGUGGGGUAGUGGCUUACCAAGGCUUUGACGGGUAGCCGGCCUGAGAGGGUGACAGGCCACAUUGGGACUGAGAUACGGCCCAGACUCCUACGGGAGGCAGCAGUGGGGAAUAUUGCACAAUGGGCGGAAGCCUGAUGCAGCAACGCCGCGUGCGGGAUGACGGCCUUCGGGUUGUAAACCGCUUUCGCCUGUGACGAAGCGUGAGUGACGGUAAUGGGUAAAGAAGCACCGGCUAACUACGUG